rnacentral:rRNA from 1 species
UGCCAGCCGCCGCGGUAAUACGGAGGGGGCAAGCGUUGUUCGGAGUCACUGGGCGUAAAGCGCACGUAGGUGGAUUAUCAAGUCAGGAGUUAAAGGCAACGGCUCAACCGUUGUAAGGCUUUUGAAACUGGUAGUCUAGAGUAUCAGAGAGGAAUGCGGAAUUUCCGGUGUAGCGGUGAAAUGCGUAGAUAUCGGAAGGAACACCAGUUGCGAAGGCGGCAUUCUGGCUGAUUACUGACACUGAGGUGCGAGAGCAUGGGUAGCAAACAGGAUUAGAUA